UCACUACUUGCGUAGGCAGUCUCCUUAGAGUGCCCAACAUUACUUGAUGGCAACUAAGGACGAGGGUUGCGCUCGUUGCGGGACUUAACCCAACACCUCACGGCACGAGCUGACGACAGCCAUGCAGCACCUGUACAUAUUCCCCUUGCGGGACAACAGCUUUCACUGAAUUUAAUAUGCGUUUCAAGCCUAGGUAAGGUUCUUCGCGUUGCAUCGAAUUAAACCACAUGCUCCACUGCUUGUGCGGGCCCCCGUCAAUUCCUUUGAGUUUCAACCUUGCGAUCGUACUUCCCAGGUGGAGUACUUAAUGCGUUAGCUAAGUCACUGAGCUUUAAAAAGCCCAAUAACUAGUACUCAUCGUUUAGGGUGUGGACUAC
rnacentral:misc_RNA from 1 species